ACAACGGAGAGUUUGAUCCUGGCUCAGGACGAACGCUGGCGGCGGGCUUAACACAUGCAAGUCGAACGAGAAUCCCGGGCUUGCUCGGGAGGAAAGUGGCGCACGGGUGCGUAACGCGUAGGCAACCUGCCCUUGAAUGGGGAAUAACUACCGGAAACGGUAGCUAAUACCACAUAUUGUCCUUUGAUCGCAUGAUCGUUGGAUGAAAGUCUUCGGAUGUUCAAGGAUGGGCCUGCGUUGGAUUAGGUAGUUGGUGAGGUAACGGCUCACCAAGCCUCCGAUCCAUAGCUGGUCUGAGAGGAUGAUCAGCCACACUGGCACUGAGACACGGGCCAGACUCCUACGGGAGGCAGCAGUGAGGAAUAUUGCGCAAUGGGGGAAACCCUGACGCAGCCAC
rnacentral:rRNA from 1 species